rnacentral:rRNA from 1 species
ACCNUACCAGGUCUUGACAUCUUUUGAUCACCUGAGAGAUCAGGUUUCCCCUUCGGGGGCAAAAUGACAGGUGGUGCAUGGUUGUCGUCAGCUCGUGUCGUGAGAUGUUGGGUUAAGUCCCGCAACGAGCGCAACCCUUAUGACUAGUUGCCAGCAUUUAGUUGGGCACUCUAGUAAGACUGCCGGUGACAAACCGGAGGAAGGUGGGGAUGACGUCAAAUCAUCAUGCCCCUUAUGACCUGGGCUACACACGUGCUACAAUGGAUGGUACAACGAGUUGCGAGACCGCGAGGUCAAGCUAAUCUCUUAAAGCCAUUCUCAGUUCGGACUGUAGGCUGCAACUCGCCUACACGAAGUCGGAAUCGCUAGUAAUCGCGGAUCAGCACGCCGCGGUGAAUACGUUCCCGGGCCUUGUACACACCGCCCGUCACACCAUGAGAGUUUGUAACACCCGAAGCCGGUGGCGUAACCCUUUUAGGGAGCGAGCCGUCUAAGGUGGGACAAAUGAUUAGGGUGAAGUCGUAACAAGGUAGCCGUAGGAGAACCUGCGGCUGGAUCACCUCCUU